GAGCCAGCAGGCCAUGGUG
rnacentral:snRNA from 1 species